UACAGAGGUCUCAAGCGUUGUUCGGAUUCAUUGGGCGUAAAGGGCGCGUAGGCUGCGGGGCAAGUCGGGUGUGAAAUCUCAGAGCUCAACUCUGAAACUGCACUCGAUACUGCUUUGCUUGAGGACUGGAGAGGAGAUUGGAAUUCACGGUGUAGCAGUGAAAUGCGUAGAUAUCGUGAGGAAGACCAGUGGCGAAGGCGGAUCUCUGGACAGUUCCUGACGCU
rnacentral:rRNA from 1 species